rnacentral:ncRNA from 1 species
CUUAUCAAGAGAGACUGAGGGACAGGCCCUGUGAAGUCCGGCAACCUGCGAUAUGUAAGGUGCCAAAUCCUGCGGCUUGACCGACAGAUGAG